AACACAGUUGUAUUCCUGGCAUUAUCAGAACUGCAUGGGAAGAUAGCAACGGGAAGUAGCUCCUGCACCAGUGAUGAUAAGAACCAACCGAACUUUAUGGGAAGGGAACAGAAUCUGUAGCGUUGGGAGGAUCUAUGGCAUACCUAAAUAUGACCACAGAAUGCACCAGUUGUGACUGCAAAGGAGUGACAUUGUCAAAGUUUUCCAUUGUUACAUCAGGGGAACUACCACCAGCAGAAAGGAAAACCCAGAGCCUUCUGUGGCCUCUCAGCUAUUGUCAAAGGGAACACAAUGACUUUCUAGGGUUUAUAAGCUGGGAGCUUUAUCUGGUGCACUCUCCAUUCUUGCCUGAUGGUUGGUCAUGAGCCUUUCUGGUGGAUAAUGCCUCGUUUUCAUUCUGGAAGCAAACGAUGGGGAAAAGAGAGCAUCUUUCUAUCUCCUGUCAAGGUGUCAUCCAGCAAACACAUGCACGCCGCAUACCAAUAGAUUG